GCGUGCCCGGUGCGCAGGUGAGGGAUACUUCGUUUCGGGAACGAGAGGUUGCGGGUUCGAGUCCCGCCGCACGCGCCA
rnacentral:tRNA from 1 species